AUUGAACGCUGGCGGCAGGCCUAACACAUGCAAGUCGAACGAGUGGCGGACGGGUGAGUAAUGUCGGGGAAACUGCCUGAUGGAGGGGUAUAACUACUGGAAACGGUAGCUAAUACCGCAUACCCUCAGAUGUGCCCAGAUGGGAUUAGCUAGUGGGUGGGGUAACGGCUCACCAAGGCGACGAUCCCUAGCUGGUCUGAGAGGAUGACCAGCCACACUGGGACUGAGACACGGUCCAGACUCCUACGGGAGGCAGCAGUGGGGAAUAUUGCACAAUGGGCGCAAGCCUGAUACAGCCAUGCCGCGUGUAUGAAGAAGGCCUUCGGGUUGUAAAGUACUUUCAGUGGGGAGGCGUUACCCGCAGAAGAAGCACCGGCUAACUCCGUGCCAGCAGCCGCGGUAAUUC
rnacentral:rRNA from 1 species